ACCGUUGAGUUAGCAACCCAAAUAAUUCGAAUGGGUAGAUAGAAUCGGAAUAAAAAAAAAUAAAAAAAAAAAAAAAGGAAUUUCAAAACGGAAUCAAAAAAUGAAAUUAGCAAGAAUCGAAUCAAAAAAUUUCUAAUCGAUUUUGAACAUAAAAAAAAAGACAACCAAAACCUAUGGAACGGAGAUAAAUGGGCCCAUUUCUCCAUGAGAAAAUUAUAUUUGUUCACUACAAUAUUGUCAAUAUGACAUUGAAUAUUGAAUAGCAAGAUUGAGAAAAUACUAAAAACAUACAAUAACAAAA
rnacentral:lncRNA from 1 species